GAUGAACGCUGGCGGCGUGCCUAAUACAUGCAAGUCGAGCGAACAGACGAGGAGCUUGCUCCUCUGACGUUAGCGGCGGACGGGUGAGUAACACGUGGAUAACCUACCUAUAAGACUGGGAUAACUUCGGGAAACCGGAGCUAAUACCGGAUAAUAUAUUGAACCGCAUGGUUCAAUAGGGAAAGACGGUUUUGCUGUCACUUAUAGAUGGAUCCGCGCCGCAUUAGCUAGUUGGUAAGGUAACGGCUUACCAAGGCGACGAUGCGUAGCCGACCUGAGAGGGUGAUCGGCCACACUGGAACUGAGACACGGUCCAGACUCCUACGGGAGGCAGCAGUAGGGAAUCUUCCGCAAUGGGCGAAAGCCUGACGGAGCAACGCCGCUUGAGUGAUGAAGGUCUUCGGAUCGUAAUACUCUGUUAUUAGGGAAGAACAAAUGUGUAAGUAACUAUGCACGUCUUGACGGUACCUAAUCAGAAAGCCACGGCUAACUACGUG
rnacentral:rRNA from 1 species